AGCCAGACUCCUACGGGAGGCAGCAGUGGGGAAUAUUGCACAAUGGGGGAAACCCUGAUGCAGCGACGCCGCGUGAGUGAAGAAGUAUUUCGGUAUGUAAAGCUCUAUCAGCAGGGAAGAAAAUGACGGUACCUGACUAAGAAGCCCCGGCUAACUACGUGCCAGCAGCCGCGGUAAUACGUAGGGGGCAAGCGUUAUCCGGAUUUACUGGGUGUAAAGGGAGCGUAGACGGCAUGGCAAGUCAGAUGUGAAAGCCCGGGGCUCAACCCCGGGACUGCAUUUGAAACUGUCAGGCUGGAGUGCAGGAGAGGUAAGUGGAAUUCCUAGUGUAGCGGUGAAAUGCGUAGAUAUUAGGAGGAACACCAGUGGCGAAGGCGGCUUACUGGACUGUAACUGACGUUGAGGCUCGAAAGCGUGGGGAGCAAACAGGAUUAGAUACCCCCGUAGAA
rnacentral:rRNA from 1 species